AACGAACGCUGGCGGCAUGCCUAACACAUGCAAGUCGAACGAGACCUUCGGGUCUAGUGGCGCACGGGUGCGUAACGCGUGGGAAUCUGCCCUUGGGUUCGGAAUAACAGUGAGAAAUUACUGCUAAUACCGGAUGAUGUCUUCGGACCAAAGAUUUAUCGCCCGAGGAUGAGCCCGCGUAGGAUUAGGUAGUUGGUGGGGUAAUGGCCUACCAAGCCGACGAUCCUUAGCUGGUCUGAGAGGAUGAUCAGCCACACUGGGACUGAGACACGGCCCAGACUCCUACGGGAGGCAGCAGUGGGGAAUAUUGGACAAUGGGCGAAAGCCUGAUCCAGCAAUGCCGCGUGAGUGAUGAAGGCCUUAGGGUUGUAAAGCUCUUUUACCCGGGAUGAUAAUGACAGUACCGGGAGAAUAAGCUCCGGCUAACUCCGUGCCAGCAGCCGCCGUAAUAC
rnacentral:rRNA from 1 species